GGGGCACAUACACUAGGAGUGGCAAGAUGCUCAUCAUUCAAGCAUAGAUUGAGUAACUUUGACUCAACCCAUGAUGUGGAUCCAACUUUGGAUGCCCAAUUUGCCAAGACUCUAUCAAAAAGAUGCGCUAAUAGUGACAAGUCUGAGCAGGCCUUUGACAACACAAAAGAUAGUUUUGACAAUGACUACUAUUAUGGUUUACAAAGAAACACUGGUGUCCUCUUCUCAGAUCAAACUCUUUACAACCACCCUAGAACUAGAGGCAUUGUAAAUGCUUAUGCCUUUAAUCAAGCUAUGUUCUUCCUUGAUUUUCAACAAGCCAUGAUUAAAAUGGGGUUACUUGAUGUCAAAGAAGGCUCCAAGGGUGAAGUGCGAGCCAACUG
rnacentral:misc_RNA from 1 species